rnacentral:rRNA from 1 species
AUUCAUACUCGUACCUUUUGCAUCAUGAGUUAGCCAGAAAAUCUCAAGCAAAGAGCACUUUAGUUUGAUUCCCCGAAACUACGUGAGCUACUUCAAGACAGCCUAAAAUAGGGCGAACCCAUCUCUGUAGCAAAAGAGUGGGAUGAGCUUCGAGUAGCGGUGACAGACCUAUCGAACCUAGUUAUAGCUGGUUGCCUGAGAAAUGAAUAGAAGUUCAGCCUUUCGAGUUCUCCCCUCAACCCCGUCUUCACCCCCGGACAACCAAAGAAAUCGAAAGAGUUAGUUAAAGGGGGUACAGCCCCUUUAACACAAGAUACAACUUUCCCAGGAGGGUAGAGAUCACAUUCAAAUUCCAAGGUAAAAUGUUUUGGUGGGCCUAAGAGCAGCCACCCCUAUAGAAUGCGUUAAAGCUCAAAUAUAAUUACCACCCCUAAUCCUGACAACCCCAUCUUAACCCCCUAACCUUACCAGGCCGUCCCAUGCAACCAUGGGAGCGACCAUGCUAAUAUGAGUAAUAAGAGGGCAAAUCCGCCUCUCUCCACGCACAAGUGUAACUCGGAU